UGCCAGACUCCUACGGGAGGCAGCAGUGAGGAAUAUUGCACAAUGGGGGGAACCCUGAUGCAGCGACGCCGCGUGGGUGAAGGAGCACCUCGGUGCGUAAAGCCCUAUCGGCAGGGAAGAAACAGACGGUACCUGACUAAGAAGCCCCGGCUAACUACGUGCCAGCAGCCGCGGUAAUACGUAGGGGGCGAGCGUUAUCCGGAUUCACUGGGUGUAAAGGGAGCGUAGACGGCCAUGCAAGCCAGGGGUGAAAGCCCGGGGCCCAACCCCGGGACUGCCCUUGGAACUGCAUGGCUGGAGUGCGGGAGGGGCAGGCGGAAUUCCUGGUGUAGCGGUGAAAUGCGUAGAUAUCAGGAGGAACACCGGCGGCGAAGGCGGCCUGCUGGACCGCGACUGACGUUGAGGCUCGAAAGCGUGGGGAGCGAACAGGAUUAGAUACCCCUGUA
rnacentral:rRNA from 1 species